GGCCAUGUGGCCCAAUGGCAAGGCGCUUGACUACGAUUCAAUUCGAUUAAUCAAGAGAUUCCAGGUUCGACCCCGUAAGUACA